rnacentral:rRNA from 1 species
UGGGGAAUAUUGCACAAUGGACGGAAGUCUGAUGCAGCAACGCCGCGUGCGGGAUGACGGCCUUCGGGUUGUAAACCGCUUUUUCUCAUGACGAAGUUUUUUUACGGUAGUGGGGGAAGAAGCACCGGCUAACUACGUGCCAGCAGCCGCGGUGAUACGUAGGGUGCGAGCGUUGUCCGGAAUUAUUGGGCGUAAAGAGCUUGUAGGCGGUUUGUCGCGUCGAUAGUGCAAACUCAGUGCUUAACGCUGAGCCUGCUGUUGAUACGGGCAGACUAGAGGAAGGUAGGGGAGAAUGGAAUUCCCGGUGGAGCGGUGGAAUGCGCAGAUAUCGGGAGGAACACCGGUGGCGAAGGCGGUUCUCUGGGCCUUUCCUGACGCUGAGAAGCGAAAGCGUGGGGAGCGAACAGG